rnacentral:rRNA from 1 species
UACAGAGGGGGCAAGCGUUGUUCGGAAUUACUGGGCGUAAAGGGCGCGUAGGCGGCCGCCUAAGUCAGACGUGAAAUCCCUCGGCUCAACCGGGGAACUGCGUCUGAUACUGGGCGGCUUGAAUUCGGGAGAGGAAUGCGGAAUUCCAGGUGUAGCGGUGAGAUGCGUAGAUAUCUGGAGGAACACCGGUGGCGAAGGCGGCAUUCUGGACCGACAUUGACGCUGAGGCGCGAAAGCCAGGGGAGCAAACGGG